rnacentral:rRNA from 1 species
CUACGGGCGGCUGCAGUGAGGAAUAUUGCACAAUGGGGGGAACCCUGAUGCAGCAACGCCGCGUGGAGGAUGACGCAUUUCGGUGUGUAAACUCCUUUUAUAUGUCAAGAAAAUGACGGUAGCAUAUGAAUAAGCACCGGCUAACUCCGUGCCAGCAGCCGCGGUAAUACGGAGGGUGCAAGCGUUACUCGGAAUCACUGGGCGUAAAGGACGCGUAGGCGGGUUGGAAAGUCAGGUGUGAAAUCCUACAGCUUAACUGUAGAACUGCACUUGAAACUUCUAAUCUAGAGUAUGGGAGGGGGAGAUGGAAUUAGUGGUGUAGGGGUAAAAUCCGUAGAUAUCACUAGGAAUACCUAAAGCGAAGGCGAUCCCCUGGAACAUUACUGACGCUAAGGUGUGAAAGCGUGGGGAGCAAACAGGAUUAGAUACCCGAGUAGUC